CUUCCAAUUCAUCAGAAUCAAUUCGCCAUUUCUAUUAUAUUAAUCAUCAUCCACUCCCAUUCAUUCAAUAACGUUCUUCAAUCCUAUCUAAUCAGAUGCAUCCUUCCACCUCCCUGUGUUUCUUCUCAUAUAUAAAUCCUUUUGUAUCAGUUCACGUUGAACCAAAUUCUAAAUCCUCCCUAAGACAAUUGAUCGACCGCCAUGAUACCCGAUCAUGCUUCCGGGAAUCUACCAAUUCGCCAUCAUCGAUGAACACCAAGCUUCAUCUCAUCUAAUCGUGCUCCAUGAUACGGCCUCAACUCAAACCAGGAGCUAAUUACAUCCUGCAGAAUUUCUUCGCAAUCACAAUCGAGUAGAUGAACUGUUGGAUUGUAACCCAGAGAUUGCCAAGCUGGUGAAUGAGGAGGAGGUAACUAAGGCUGAGACAAUGACUAUUGGUGAAAUCUUCGAUUACAUCAACAAAGGGUUCACCAAGGUAAAACUUGAGCUGUAGAUAUGCCACUCAAAUCAACAUACCUAACCUGGUCUUUGACGAAUGCAUAAGGUUUUUUUUGUCUGCAUCUUCCAAAGGGAUUUGGAGACCUUGCUGAUGAGGGAAAUAGCAGCUCAAGUAAGAGUGGCGAAGCACAGGAAGCCAAACGUGCUACUCAUGGAAAAUAGUGCAUCAAUCGUUCAUGAUAAGAGGUCCACUACACAUGUCAAAGUGGUCCUUUUUCACUUUCCUUCCUGUUCUUAAGUUUUGUUCUGUUAUUGCUCUGUAAUAGAUCCUUUCAUAUCUUAAUUAUUUCGACAAAGCUCAAGUUAGACUUUGAUCUUUUUAUUGCUUUGUCUGAUUGUGUGGUUUUAGUUGUUUGCUCACUGUUAGCUCGCACCCUCUGACCCAACCAAGAAGAAGAAGAUGAGAGUUGUCAUUAUGGAUCCUAUCGAGGACUCAACAGAGUCGCAAGCGAUUCAGUGCUUGGUAGUGCCGAGAAACUUUGGUUGUUUUGUACACAUAUAUUACUUUGGCUGUUUCACUUCAAUGGUGUACAUACAUUACUUUGCCUUUAUUUAUUUUCACUGCAGCUUUUGAUGGCCUUCAGAGUUCAUUUGCUAGACAAAACUCAGCCAUCCUUAGAAACUGCAGCGCAUCAUAGAUGACACUACAAGGUGCUCCAGGUUGAAACAAAAUAACUUACUAUUCCGUUACAAAGUUUUCAGUCUAAAGACAAUGGUUUGGGAGAAUGUUCUGCUUGAUCAUGAAGGAAUUGUCUCCAAGAGCUGAUGAGGUUCGUUGUCUGUAAUUUGCCUUAGUAGCGGAAUCCUAACAUAUAGUUAGGUAUAGAUUCCUCUGCCAAAUAAUAGACAAAACUCUUUUUUUCACCAACUGAGAGAUACUUGAAACAAGCUAUUGUCGGAAAGAAUCAUGGUGUUUCAAGCUAUUUGCUAUCAUGAUAUUUGCAUGGUUA